rnacentral:misc_RNA from 1 species
AAGUCGUAACAAGGUUUCCGUAGGUGAACCUGCGGAAGGAUCAUUAAUGAUUUUUAAAGCGAGUCGAGCGUUAAGCGAGGCUUGCGAAAUAUAUUUAAAACCCCACUAUUUUUAACCUUAAAAUAUAAAUCAUGAUACAUGAAUUUAAAAAAAAGAUCACUUUCAACAACGGAUCUCUUGGCUCUC